rnacentral:rRNA from 1 species
CCCUUAGAUGUUCUGGGCUGCACGCGUGCUACACUGAUUACUUCAACAAGUGUUUUAACUGGAGAGUUCGCGUAAUCCUGAAAUGUUAUCGUGAUGGGAGUAGAGUAUUGUAUUUGUUAAUCUUUAACGAGGAAUUCCUAGUAAGUGUAGGUUUAUAAGUUGUUCUGAUUACGUCCCUGCCCUUUGUACACACCGCCCGUCGCUCCUACCGAUUGAAUGCUCAGGUGAGCCAUUCGGACUUUCAUCAUGCUGGUUUCCAGUUUUGAUGAAGGAAAGUCUUGCGAACCUUAUCAUUUAGAGGAAGGAGAAGUCGUAACA